rnacentral:rRNA from 1 species
UACGUAGGGGGCAAGCGUUGUCCGGAAUCAUUGGGCGUAAAGAGCGUGUAGGCGGCUCGGUAAGUCCGCUGUGAAAGUCCAGGGCUCAACCCUGGAAUGCCGGUGGAAACUGUCGAGCUAGAGUCCGGAAGAGGCGAGUGGAAUUCCUGGUGUAGCGGUGAAAUGCGCAGAUAUCAGGAGGAACACCAAUGGCGAAGGCAGCUCGCUGGGACGGUACUGACGCUGAGACGCGAAAGCGUGGUGAGCAAACAGG